rnacentral:misc_RNA from 1 species
AAGUCGUAACAAGGUCUCCGUAGGUGAACCUGCGGAGGGAUCAUUACAGAGCUCAUGCCCUAACGGGUAGAACUCCCACCCUAUGUUAUUAUAACUUUGUUGCUUUGGCGGGCCGCCUUUUACUAGGCUACCGGCUUCGGCUGGUGAGCGCCCGCCAGAGGACCCCAAACUCUGAAUAUUAUUGUCGUCUGAGUACUAUAUAAUAGUUAAAACUUUCAACAACGGAUCUCUUGGUUCUG